rnacentral:tRNA from 2 species
GCGGGAGUGGCCGAGCUGGCCAAAGGCGCGGGACUUAAGAUCCCGUCCUUAGUGGUUCAAGGGUUCGAAUCCCUUCUCCCGCACCA